AGAGGCAGGUAGGGACGCGUGGUGGUUCCCGCACAGGGUGAACAAUGAGAUUCCUUUAGAAGGCGUUGGCAUCACUUCUUGCUGUUGGGGUGGCGGAAAAAGUCGCUCUGGGAGGGGGAGAAGCUGCUGGUAAACCCGAG
rfam:Myotis lucifugus cont2.37846, whole genome shotgun sequence.